ACACAUUGCAAUAAUUGGAAUAAUUCAUACUUCGAAUAAAAGUAUGGUUUCUGACACAGGCACAAAGCUUUCAGAUUAAGAAUGUACGCGACUACAUUGACCUAGAAUUUGACCACCAGCUGCUCCCUGUUAAAGAACAGAACUACAAAAGACACGAGUUUUACAGUGACUGUACCAAAGCUAAGAAGCUGUAUUCAAAGUUUGCAGCGUCCAUCUCGAAGCGGAAGAGUGAUAAAGCCUGGUGAAAGUUUUUGCUAUGACUCACACAUAUAAUACUCUAAAUAUAAUUCACGAGCCGACGAGGGAGCCAAUAGGUGGUCACACAACAUGCUAAAAUUAGCAAUGAUCUUUCCUGCCAAUCACAUCCUGCUGCCUUUCAAAACAAAAAGGAGUGAGUUGUUCUGUUGAUAAAAUACACAUACGGUCACGGCAGGAGUGUCUUUGAUCAGAGAAGUGCUCAUCCACCAUCUCCCUCUAUUAAACAUUAAUUAAAUAUAUAUUUC